GAUGAACGCUGGCGGCGUGCCUAAUACAUGCAAGUCGAGCGAACGGACGAGAAGCUUGCUUCUCUGAUGUUAGCGGCGGACGAGUGAGUAACACGUGGAUAACCUACCUAUAAGACUGGGAUAACUUCGGGAAACCGGAGCUAAUACCGGAUGAUAUUUUGAACCGCAUGGUUCAAAAGUGAAAGACGGUCUUGCUGUCACUUAUAGAUGGAUCCGCGCUGCAUUAGCUAGUUGGUAAGGUAACGGCUUACCAAGGCAACGAUGCAUAGCCGACCUGAGAGGGUGAUCGGCCACACUGGAACUGAGACACGGUCCAGACUCCUACGGGAGGCAGCAGUAGGGAAUCUUCCGCAAUGGGCGAAAGCCUGACGGAGCAACGCCGCGUGAGUGAUGAAGGUCUUCGGAUCGUAAAACUCUGUUAUUAGGGAAGAACAGAUGUGUAAGUAACUGUGCACAUCUUGACGGUACCUAAUCAGAAAGCCACGGCUAACUACGUG
rnacentral:rRNA from 1 species